GCCCAGGUGGUGGAAUGGUAGACACGCUAGCUUGAGGGGCUAGUGGGCGUAAGCCCGUGGACGUUCAAAUCGUCUCCUGGGCACCA
rnacentral:tRNA from 1 species